GUUUGCUGUGCUCCUGGCAGGUGCCAGUGCAGGAGGCAUGAUAAAAAAGCUCCUGGCAGAACCUGGAGACAUAUUAGCUCUAGUCCAUAUGACCCUAUAGGCUGGUAAAGGCAGGUGGGUGGUUCUGAAAAUCAGAUUUAAGGCAUCAACAACAAACUUAACUAAAUGAACAGAUCCGCAUGGAUAAUUUUCCAGAAAUUCUAUGGAUGACAUGCUGGGGUCUAGAUAAACAGUGGAAAAUAGGAACCUAAAUCUCCCUCAAAAAUACCAUUAGCACUAAAUGAAGGUUGCUAAUUUGUCCUCUGACAAAAUUAGUUGUAAAGAAUAUUACAGUUAAAUGUACCCAAGUCUGGAAAUUCUCAGGAACAUGAAUAAACCAAAUUCUGGACUAUGCUACCAUCAAGAUGAGCAAGUAUUCCCGAUUCCCAAGUUGCAUGACUGUGGUUAAAGAAAGGGAUUCCUGAAGUCUCUCUGUAAAAUGGAGCAAAAUUUCUUUGCAGGCAAAUAUUUAAAAAAUCAGACAGACAAACAGACACACUUUAUACAGAAAAACAAGCAACAAAUGUUAUAAUCUUCACAAGGGGUGUUUUAAACAAAACCCUUUCUUGCCAGCUCAGAAAGACUUCAGUCUAUGGAAUUUAAAUUGGAAUCAUCCAACCAUGAGAGGAUCAUCUUCAAAAUUCCCUUUCCCCACACUGCCAAGAUUAAAAAUCCCCACUAAGGAGGAUAUUCUUCUCUGGUCUCACCAGCUAAAAAACAUUCCAAACAAAAUCCCUCUAUUUACAUGAAAAUCUUCCAAAGGAGCAAGCAGGAAACUCACCCCUGAAGCUAUGUAAAAGAAAUCUCUCUACUGGGAAUUUUCACAUUUUCAAGGGCUCACAGAAGAGCAAAACAUUUAUCAUUCUUGCUUUGAAUUUUCCCCUAAAACCAAACAGACUGUUUCUGACAUUUUCCCACAAAAAAAGUGUUUAUACUAUAAAAAGGGUGAGCUUUUUUUGUACUGGACUUAACUUAGGAUUUUACGCAGUAAGGGAGAUAUUUUCACCAAGUUAAGUUAUAUUUGCUUGAAUACAAAUCACACACUGUAAAAUAUUGCCCUAGAUCACAUUUGUACAUAGUCUCACACACACACUAUGGAUAGGAAAGGUAAAGUAGAUUUUCAUGCAAGAAUAUUCAGAGAGCAAAAUCUGGUAGAGCUAUACAGUUCAAAGAGGAUUUCCUACAAAUACUAUUAGAAAUAUUUAAAAUGCUGACCACCCUAAAAGAUUAGUUCUUUUGAAGGGUUUUCCUCCAGCCAUCUGGACUCUAAGAACAGAAAUUCUCUGGAGACCAUCCAAACUUGAAAAUGGAUGUUUGAAUCCAUACAUAUGGAGAGAAUUGAUAUUUUAGUAGAGAAUGAAAGUUAACACAAGGGAAUGUCAUCCACAAUGAAAAUGUACAGUUAAGCACAUGCAUAUAUAUAUUUGAAGGGUCAGGUGUGACCUGUAUGAAUAGUGUGCAGGCUGCUUCUGGUUCAUUUUGUCAAAUUUUAUAUCCAUUGGCAGAGAACUAAAAUACAAGCCAGUAUCUGCCCAGUCUAGUUCAAAUGAACAUCUCCUGUCACUUGCCCUAUAUUUCCCUAUGCAUUUUACAUCACUUACUGUCUUUCCUAUUCAAUAAAUG